UGGCUCAGGACGAACGCUGGCGGCGUGCCUAAUACAUGCAAGUCGAGCGAGUCUGCCUUGAAGAUCGGAGUGCUUGCACUCUGUGAAACAAGAUACAGGCUAGCGGCGGACGGGUGAGUAACACGUGGGUAACCUGCCCAAGAGAUCGGGAUAACACCUGGAAACAGAUGCUAAUACCGGAUAACAACAGAUGAUGCCUAUCAACUGUUUAAAAGAUGGUUCUGCUAUCACUCUUGGAUGGACCUGCGGUGCAUUAGCUAGUUGGUAGGGUAACGGCCUACCAAGGCGAUGAUGCAUAGCCGAGUUGAGAGACUGAUCGGCCACAUUGGGACUGAGACACGGCCCAAACUCCUACGGGAGGCAGCAGUAGGGAAUCUUCCACAAUGGACGCAAGUCUGAUGGAGCAACGCCGCGUGAGUGAAGAAGGGUUUCGGCUCGUAAAGCUCUGUUGUUGGUGAAGAAGGACAGGGGUAGUAACUGACCUUUGUUUGACGGUAAUCAAUUAGAAAGUCACGGCUAACUACGUGCCAGCAGCCGCGGUAAUACGUAGGUGGCAAGCGUUGUCCGGAUUUAUUGGGCGUAAAGCGAGUGCAGGCGGCUCGAUAAGUCUGAUGUGAAAGCCUUCGGCUCAACCGGAGAAUUGCAUCAGAAACUGUCGAGCUUGAGUACAGAAGAGGAGAGUGGAACUCCAUGUGUAGCGGUGAAAUGCGUAGAUAUAUGGAAGAACACCGGUGGCGAAGGCGGCUCUCUGGUCUGUUACUGACGCUGAGGCUCGAAAGCAUGGGUAGCGAACAGGAUUAGAUACCAUGGUAGUCCAAGCCGUAAACGAUGAGUGCUAAGUGUUGGGAGGUUUCCGCCUCUCAGUGCUGCAGCUAACGCAUUAAGCACUCCGCCUGGGGAGUACGACCGCAAGGUUGAAACUUAAAGGAAUUGACGG
rnacentral:rRNA from 1 species